rnacentral:rRNA from 1 species
AUACGGAGGAUCCGAGCGUUAUCCGGAUUUAUUGGGUUUAAAGGGAGCGUAGGCGGACGCUUAAGUCAGUUGUGAAAGUUUGCGGCUCAACCGUAAAAUUGCAGUUGAUACUGGGUGUCUUGAGUACAGUAGAGGCAGGCGGAAUUUGGGGUGUAGCGGGGAAAUGCUUAGAUAUCACGAAGAACUCCGAUUGCGAAGGCAGCCUGCUGGACUGUAACUGACGCUGAUGCUCGAAAGUGUGGGUAUCAAACAGGAUUAGAUACCCUGGUAGUCCACACAGUAAACGAUGAAUACUCGCUGUUUGCGAUAUACAGUAAGCGGCCAAGCGAAAGCGUUAAGUAUUCCACCUGGGGAGUACGCCGGCAACGGUGAAACUCAAAGGAAUCGGCGGGG